rnacentral:lncRNA from 1 species
AAAUAGAAUGACAGGAAAACGUUGAAAAGAGACCUAGGGUGAGAGAGAAUCGCCGAAGAAAUGAGAAACAAUGGAUUGGAUAGAUAUAUUUGAGGAUUUAAGUUUCGAAUGAUGGGAAGGAAGCUGGCCUGAUCGGAGGUAAGACGCUGGAAAGUGUGUGGAAGCAGCGGCAGCGGUUUGUUAGAAAGGACAAUAAAGGACGAAGAGAGAAAAAGAAAAUUAGUAGAAGAAAGGGGGAAAGGGUGAGAGAAGAAAGGGAGAACCGAACGUGAGAGAGAUGAAGGAAGAAAGAGUUUUUAUAAUUUAUUUUAAAAAUGGUUUGAAUUUUAUUUCAUUUUUUUAAAAAAUAUCGUACUCUGGAAAAGUUAUAUUCAAUCUUUAUGGAUUGAAGAUACAAUAUUUUCUUAAAUAGUAUUUAGACCCAGAUAAAUUUAGGCCUGUUUUUCCAAGCUUUUGUUUUGCUUUGGGCCUAUUUCGUUUUGGAGUCGGUCUUUUAGUCCUGACGGUUCGUGUUUUUGAAUUUUAAUAAUAGCCCAGUAUUUUCCUUCAAAAAAAACCUUAAACCGACGCCGGGAUAUCCUUGGAAUGGGAUAUACCCGGCCGGGAUAUCCCUUCUUAGGAUAUCCCCAACCCGGGAUAUACGCAGAAUGGGAUAUCCCUUCGUGGAAUAAGUGUGACAGGUAGUCCGGUCCUGCAGUAUAAAAAAUCUGAACCGGACACUAAAAGAACUGAACCGGACAGGGGAAAACCUGAAUCGGGAUGGGAUAUGAAAGGGAUAUCCCCAGAAUAGCUUCUUCCGAGACGGGAUAUGACAAGGAUAUUCGUGAAUUGGAAUAAGACAAUCUUUAAAUCCUGUAAGCUAACCCAAAACAGAAAAAUCAAAAGAAGAAAAUUUUAUUCAGAACCAGCAUGCAUCGAGAAAUCAACCAGGACAAUAAAUGAACAAGAAAUUGGUUAUGACAUCAUUAGAGAAUAUAUCCAACACAUCUUUUUACCAGUCUCGUAAAACCAUCAACCAAUAAGCAAAUCAAAAAUUACGUUAAUCAGUCUCAUGGAACCUAUUUACUUAAAGGAUUACAACUAAAUUUCCCUUCAUGUAAGGCUAGGCAACACAGAUGAAUAUAAUUCUAUCUUUAACCAAAAUCAGAGCAUUUUCACCAUAUGGAUAUAUCAAUAAUCACAUAAAACUUCCCAUUCAGCAGAUAUACAGAGAUACCAUGGGUCUACCUAGAACUUCCAAUCAAAAUCCAGUUGCAAAUCAUACCCAACAGAACUCAAACAAUCCCAAUUAUUUUAAAGAAAAUAUACCCAACACUAUCUGACUAAUGCAAACACCCAGCAGUAUGAAAAAGAAAACAUAUAUGCAUACACGAAUCAUGACAAUCUCCACCGUAUAUAAUCAUGAAACCCAAAUCGACAAAAACCUUUGCAAUUAGCAAAUCGGUUGAAAUUCUCCAAUUCUUAUCAAUAUCAACAAGCAUCCCAAUUAGAUUAUUACUAUUUUUUUAAAACUAAAGUACAGACUUUUUGAGAAAACUAAGAAACAGAAUGUCACAACUCACAACGAAUUAAAAAGACAUUUUAUUACCAUCCAGAAAAACUAACAAAUAAACUCUACAUGCAUCACAACUCCCGCUGGGUUCCUAGAACCAAAAUCAAGCCAACACAGAUGCAGUAAACAAUUUACAUACGGAUGCUUUUUGUUUAGGCAAUUAGUAUUCUGCUAAGCAACGAUUUAAGAGAAAUAGAAAAUAACACAAAAGCUAUAAUAUUAAACAGAGGGGAACAAACAAUCCAAAAAUAAAGAACAACAUAUAGUAUACGAUAAACAAACAAAAAUGAAGAACAAGACCGACAUUUAUAGAUCUGAAAGACGGAACGAAAUAGAGAUUUCUAAAGCUGAAGACCAAAAACCCUAAGAAAAACCCACUGAAAUACAAGUAAAAAAGCAUGGAGCUGAAACUAAAAAAGAAAUUGAUACCAUGAAAUGAGUCUCCGUUUAAGCAGCGAAAUUCAAAAAUCACAAAAACCAGAAACGCCAGAGAAAACUUAGGGUUUCUCUCACGAAAACUCUCUUCCUACUAUAGCGUGUGUGUUUUUGGCCUAUGGAUACCCAAAGCUAAAAAAGAAUGACAGGAAAACGUUGAAAAGAGACCGAGAGUGAGAGAGAAUCACCGAAGAAAUGGGGAGCAAUGGAUUGGAUAGAUAUAUUUGAGGAUUUAAAUUUUGAAUGAUGGGAAGGAAGCUGGCCUGAUCGGAGGUAAGACGCUGGAAAGUGUGUGGAGGCAGCGGCAGCGGUUUGUUAGAAAGGACAAUAAACAAGGAAGAGAGAAAAAGAAAAUUAGUAGAAAAAAGGGGAAAAGGGAAGAGAACAAAGGGAGAACCGAAGGUGAGAGAGAUGAAUGAAGAAUAACAGAGAGGAAAGGUAUUCUGCUCAGCUAAAAAUACAAAAAUUAUUCUGCUAGGCAAAAACAAGAAAAGAUUUUC